AAUGAACGCUGGCGGCAGGCCUAACACAUGCAAGUCGAGCGGAUGAAGGGAGCUUGCUCCUGGAUUCAGCGGCGGACGGGCGAGUAAUGCCUACGAAUCUGCCUGGUAGUGGGGGAUAACGUCCGGAAACGGGCGCUAAUACCGCAUACGUCCUGAUGGUGAACGUGGGGGAUCUUCGGACCUCACGCUAUCAGAUGAGCCUAGGUCGGAUUAGCUAGUUGGUGGGGUAAAGGCCUACCAAGGCGACGAUCCGUAACUGCUCUGAGAGGAUGAUCAGUCACACUGGAACUGAGACACGGUCCAGACUCCUACGGGAGGCAGCAGUGGGGAAUAUUGGACAAUGGGCGAAAGCCUGAUCCAGCCAUGCCGCGUGUGUGAAGAAGGUCUUCGGAUUGUAAAGCACUUUAAGUUGGGAGGAAGGGCAGUAAGUUAAUACCUUGCUGUUUUGACGUUACCAACAGAAUAAGCACCGGCUAACUUCGUG
rnacentral:rRNA from 1 species